rnacentral:rRNA from 1 species
UGCAAGUCGACGGUAACAGCAGAGCUUGCUCUGGCUGACAAGUGGCGGACGGGUGCGUAACGCGUGGGAAUCUACCUUGUAGUGGGGGAUAGCCCGGAGAAAUCCGGAUUAAUACCGCAUAAUCUCUACGGAGCAAAGUGGGGGAUCUUCGGACCUCACGCUAUUAGAUGAGCCCGCGUUAGAUUAGCUUGUUGGUGAGGUAAUGGCUCACCAAGGCAACGAUCUAUAGCUGGUUUGAGAGGAUGAUCAGCCACACUGGGACUGAGACACGGCCCAGACUCCUACGGGAGGCAGCAGUGGGGAAUAUUGGACAAUGGGCGCAAGCCUGAUCCAGCAAUACCGCGUGUGUGAAGAAGGCCUGAGGGUUGUAAAGCACUUUCAAUAGAGACGAAAAGCUCAGAGUUAAUAGCUCUGGGUCUUGACUUAACCUAUAGAAGAAGCACCGGCUAACUCCGUGCCAGCAGCCGCGGUAAUACG